rnacentral:misc_RNA from 1 species
GCUGUUACAAGAACUGUUUUAUCUGUGUCUUCUACUAUCCUUUAUCUUUUAUUUUUGGGAAAAUAUGCAAAUAAGAGUAUAAGAGUGAAUUUGUUCCAGAAGAAAAGCCAAGCCAGAGAAAAAAGAAAAAAACAUCUGAGAAAUUAAAAAAGAAAAAAAAAUCCAGUUGCACACAUAACAUGUACGGUGUACCAUUGGGCAACAGAUCAUGUAUGGCAUCUUCAGAACUCAAAUCAAUAAAAGAAUUCCCCAAAUAGCCCCACAAAGUAUGGCUUAUAUUGCUAUGUGAAUUUCCUGUUAGCAUUUCAUCAUAUCCAUGUAAAAUCUCCACAUUAACCAUCAAUGAGAC